rnacentral:rRNA from 1 species
UACAGAGGGGGCGAGCGUUGUUCGGAAUUACUGGGCGUAAAGGGCGCGUAGGCGGCCUUCUAAGUCGAACGUGAAAUCCCCGGGCUCAACCCGGGAACUGCGUCCGAUACUGGGAGGCUUGAAUCCGGGAGAGGGAUGUGGAAUUCCAGGUGUAGCGGUGAAAUGCGUAGAUAUCUGGAGGAAUACCGGUGGCGAAGGCGGCAUCCUGGACCAUAACUGACGCUGAGGCGCGAAAGCUAGGGGAGCAAACGGG